UUUUGCAACAAAAUAUUCACUUCAGAGUAACUCGUAAAACUACUGAACAAUCUAAAAGCAGGCAUACGAAAUACUUCGGACUGUUACAAGCAACAAGUGAAAAUGACUUCUUGCAGCUUUUCUUUAGCCAAAGACAAAGUCCUCACAUGAGAGACCUUUCCAAACUAGCUGUCAUUUGAACGGGAAUUUGCCGACUUUCUAGACAAUGACAAGAUUAUCGCCAUAUUCAAUUCCAAACCCCGACGCCUGCGUCUGGUCUAGAAGGCCAAAACCUCACCGCAGAGGGGUGGCUAAGGACCAGAAUCAACUGAGCAAGAAGCCAAGAAGAAACAGCCUAGCGACCAGCAGAAGACAAGUGGAUGAGACAGGGUGUGAGGAGGGGAGAGGGACUGGAGGCUGGAACAGUCGGAGCUAUCAAGUAGCCUUUAGAUUGUCCUGGCUCACUGGAGCCACUUGGGAGCUGCCCAGGGAGAGCUCUGCACUGCCCUGGCUAACUAAUUCCAACUCUGCUCCCAGCAGAAAUCCUGGUUGACAGAAGUUGCAUCUGGAUCAGACAGCCCAACCUGUUCUUAGAAUGAGGAUGUUAACAAGUUCGGUCAUCUGGAAGCCUAAGACGUACGUUUUAAUUUUUACACAGUGAUGCUAUAAAAUAAGGUGAUUAGGAAGAGCCUUAACAAUCAGUAUUUAAACGUGUGUAAUGGAGAUUUAC